rnacentral:rRNA from 1 species
GACGAACGCUGGCGGCGUGCUUAACACAUGCAAGUCGAACGGAAAGGCCCUGCUUUUGUGGGGUGCUCGAGUGGCGAACGGGUGAGUAACACGUGAGUAACCUGCCCUUGACUUUGGGAUAACUUCAGGAAACUGGGGCUAAUACCGGAUAGGAGCUCCUGCUGCAUGGUGGGGGUUGGAAAGUUUCGGCGGUUGGGGAUGGACUCGCGGCUUAUCAGUUUGUUGGUGGGGUAGUGGCUUACCAAGGCUUUGACGGGUAGCCGGCGGGAGAGGGUGACCGGCCAACUGGAGUGAGAGAGAGACACGACCCACUUACGGGGGGGAGGCGGGGGUAGUUUAUAAUGGAGGGGGGAGGGCGGCUGGAGCCACGCGGGGUGCGGGAGUAAGGAUGUCGGGAUGGAAACAAAUUUCCCCUGCCCGGGAGGGUAAGGGAGGUAACGGGGUAAAAAAGCCCCGCUUACUCCGGG